rnacentral:rRNA from 1 species
UCCGGUUGAUCCUGCCGGACCCGACUGCUAUUUGGGUGAGAUUAAGCCAUGCAAGUCGAAUGGAAUACCUAAAUUUUCCAUGGCAAACUGCUCAGUAACACAUGAUCAACUUACCCUAUAGAGAAAAAUAACCUCGGGAAACUGAGGAUAAUGUUUCAUAAUUGAAAAGGCUUGGAAAAGUUUUUCAAUUAAAGGAGUAAAGAAAAUGGUAUUUACUUGCUAUAGGAUAGGAUCGUGGUCGAUUAUGGUAGUUGGUGAGGUAACGGCUCACCAAGCCGAUAAUCGAUAGGGGCCGUGAGAGCGGGAGCCCCGAGAUGGGUACUGAGACAACGACCCAGGCCUUACGAGGCGCAGCAGGUACGAAACCUCCGCAAUACACGAAAGUGUGACGGGGUUACCCAAAGUGUCCUUAUUGGACUGUGGUAGGUGAGUAAUGUCCCCUACUAGAAAGGAGAGGGCAAGGCUGGUGCCAGCCGCCGCGGUAAAACCAGCUCUUCAAGUGGUCGGGAUAAUUAUUGGGCUUAAAGUGUCCGUAGCCGGUUUAGUAAGUUCCUGAUAAAAUCGGGUAGCUUAACUAUCUGUAUGCUAGGAAUACUGCUAAUACUAGAGGGCGGGAGAGGUCUGAGGUACUACAGGGGUAGGGGUGAAAUCUUAUAAUCCUUGUAGGACCACCAGUGGCGAAGGCGUCAGACUGGAACGCGCCUGACGGUGAGGGACGAAAGCCAGGGGAGCGAACCGGAUUAGAUACCCGGGUAGUCCUGGCCGUAAACGAUGCAUACUAGGUGAUGGCACGGCCAUGAGCCGUGUCAGUGCCGUAGGGAAACCGUUAAGUGUGCCGCCUGGGAAGUACGGUCGCAAGGCUAAAACUUAAAGGAAUUGGCGGGGGAGCACCACAAGGGGUGAAGCCUGCGGUUUAAUUGGAUUCAACGCCGGA